rnacentral:ncRNA from 1 species
AAAACAGUGUUGAUUGGGAGUAGUAAGGCCGGUGCGGAAAUAACAGAGAAUCUGUCGGAGGCUGAGAGACAGAAUGGAAACACGGCUUGAACUCACCCAGGAGCAGCUGCCCGAACGCAUUCACAAGUAGGAACAGCCGGCAGACAACCGUUAUCUUGUCAGGCAUUAAAAGGCAAUGUCCGGAGAUGUCCGUAAAAGUGGUCAUAUGAGUAUUCAUAUGGCAAUAAGAGUGGUACCGCAAAGUAUACAUACUUUGUCUCUUUU